rnacentral:rRNA from 1 species
CAUUCAUGGAGAGUUUGAUCCUGGCUCAGGACGAACGCUGGCGGCGUGCUUAACACAUGCAAGUCGAACGAUGAAGCCCUUCGGGGUGGA